GGUUGGCGGCGGCGGUGCUGAGUGACCCGGCUCAAGCAAAAACUCGUCCUCUGGGCCUUCACUGCCCUCGCCCCAGCAGACGCUAAAGCCCCGAGGGCGAGGCGCCUGCUCCGUAUUGCUCCCUGUGUCCAGAUCGGUAAGGAUCUCUUGGGCGAGUGUCCAUACCUGAACACCAGGGUGGUGAGGUGUAGGAGAGUGCUACUGGCAGAGGGACCAGCUUACGUAAAGUCGUGGAGGGGAUAUUGAGCCAGAAUCGUUCAGCCUGGAAUGGCAAAGCGAGGAGGUUUGUUUGUUUUUGCCUUUUCUAGAGCCGCUCCUGCGGCAUAUGAAGGUUCCCAGGCUAGGGGUCGAAUCGGAGCUGUAGCCACCGGCCUACACCAGAGCCACAGCAACGCCAGAUCCGAGCCGCGUCUGCAACCUACACCACAGGUCACAGCAAUGCCAGAUCCUUAACCCGCCGAGCAAGGCCAGGGAUGGAACCCGCAACCUCAUGGUUCCCAGUCAGAUUCGUUAACCACUGCUUCACGACGGAACUUCAACGAGGAGUUUUAAUCUCAGGACGGUAGAAGCUGUGGAGUCCUGUGCACAAAAGAGGCACAUGAUGUGAGUAAGGCUUUUCAAGUUCUCCAGAAGUUGCUCACAGCAAGAACAGACAAAAGGUGAUGAAAAGCACCGAGGGGCGGGCGGUUGAGUCGGUCCAAGGUCACACACCUAUAAAUGCAGGAAGGACCGAGACUCAAAGUUAAGGCAGUCCUGCCAUCAUCUUGUUCCAGGGCUGCAGAAGGAUACCUGGAGGCCAGAGACCAUUGAGGCUGCCGUGGUUAUAUCCCUCUAAUGACCUCCUUCUUCCCAUAGACUCCCAUGACUACAGAGGUGCUUAUGGACCGUACAGAGGCAGCUCUGCCCUUUCCACGGACAGACCAUGGCAAUGCUGGAUCCUUACCUCACGGAGCAAGGCCAGGGAUUGAACCCGCAUCCUCAUGGAUACUAGUCGAAUUCAUUGCUGCUGAGCCACAACAGGAACUCCCCACAUCUCUGAAUUUUGAUCUUUUCUAGUGUUUUUGUAGUCUGUAUAUCCACUUUAAUCUUUAUUGAUUCCUUCCUUCUGCUAACAUUGUGCUUAGUUUGUUCUUUUUCUAGUCUUUAAGGUUUGAAGAUAAGGUGUUCAUUUAAGAUCUCUUUUUUCUUAGUACAGACAUUUAUCUGCUAUAACUUUCCCUUUUAGAACUGCUUUUACUGGUGGCAUAAGUUUUGGUACAUUGUGUUCUUUUUUUUUUUUUUUUUUUGGUCUUUUUAGGGCCAAACCCAUGGCAUAUGAAGGUUCCCAGGCUAGGGGUCUAAUUGGAGCUAUAGCUGCCAGCCUAUGCCACAGCCACAGCAAUGCCAGAUCGGAGCCAAGUCUGCAACCCACACCACAGUUCAUGGCAACGCCAGAUCCUUAACCCACUGAGCAAGGCCAGGGAUCGAACCUUUGUCCUCACAGAUCCUAGUCGGACUCAUUUCCGCUGAGCUAUGACGGGAACUCCCCAAGAUAUUUUUUAUUUCAUUUAUGACUCACAAUUUGUUAAAGAGUGCAUUGUUUAAUUUCCACAUAUUUGUGAAUUUUCCAAACCUCCUGUUAUUAAUUUUUUUACUUUUUUUGGUCUUUCCCUAUUUUUAGGGCUGCACCUGCGGUAUAUGGAGGUUCCCAGGCUAGGGGUCCAGUCAGAGCUAUAGCUGCCAGCCUACACCAGAGCCACAGCAAUGUGGGAUCUGAGCCACAUGUCUGUGACCUAUACCCCAGCUCGCAGCAAUGCCAGAUCCUUAACCCACUGAGCAAGGCCAGGGAUUGAACCUGCAUCCUCGUGGAUGCCAGUCAGGCUCCUUAACCACUGAGCCAUGACAAGAACUCCUGAUUUUUAUUCAACUAAUUACUUUUUGGUCAGAAAAUGUAUUUGAUUAUUAUUUCAGUUUUCUAAAAUUAGCUAUGUUUUGUAACCUACCAUAUGAUGUAUCCUAGAGAAUUUUCCCUGCACUAUGAAAACAUCAUAUCAUACAGAAAGUUAAAAUAAUGAUGAAUAGGAGUUCCCUGGUGGCACAGCAAGUUAAGGAUCUGGCAUUGUCACUGCUGUCACUCAGGACGCUGCUGUGGUGCAUGUUCAAUCAGGCAUAGCCAAAAAAAACCUCAAAACACCACAAUGAGUAAUACUUUACCACCAUAACCAGCAUGAUUCAUAAACAUUUCUCUCCUUCAGUUUGUUGGGACGGAACAGAGAAUAAAGACACACCUUCUCAGCA
ensembl:lncRNA